rnacentral:rRNA from 1 species
AGCGAACGCUGGCGGCAGGCCUAACACAUGCAAGUCGAACGCGUGUAGCAAUACACGAGUGGCAGACGGGUGAGUAACACGUGGGAACGUACCUUUCGGUUCGGAAUAACUCAGGGAAACUUGUGCUAAUACCGGAUACGCCUUUACGGGGAAGAUUAUCGCCGAAAGAUCGGCCCGCGUCUGAUAGCUAGUUGGUGAGGUAACGGCUCACCAAGGCGACGAUCAGUAGCUGGUC